GGAGGUAGUGACAAUAAAUCACAAUGCGGGACUAUUCGUCUUGCAAUUGGAUUGAGAACAAUGUACAACUCUUAUCGAUAAGCCAUUGGAGGGCAAGUCUGGUGCCAGCAGCCGCGGUAAUUCCAGCUCCAAUAGCGUAUAUUAACGUUGUUGCAGUUAAAAAGCUCGUAGUUGAAGUGUGGGUGGUGCCAUCUGUGAAGCUUCGGCUUUUAAGAUGAUCACUACCCCCUUCCAGUAUCCAGUAGUGGGUAUUCAGUUACUUACUAUUGUGUGUUGGUCGUUUACUGUGAGAAAAUUAGAGUGUUCAAAGCAGGCGUUUGCUUGAAUAGAUUAGCAUGGAAUAAUAAUUGAAGGCUUUCGUGUUCGAUUUGAUUGGUUUGUUCAUGGAAGCAAGGUUAAAAGGAACAGUUGGGGGUAUUCAUAUUCACUAGUUAGAGGUGAAAUUCUCGGAUUUAUGGAAGAUGAACAAGUGCGAAAGCA
rnacentral:rRNA from 1 species